GAGAAGAGAGCAACAUCAGAAGAAAGAAGAAUCAAAGAAGAGCAAACAUGAAGAAAUAGAGAAAGACAAAACUACUCCAACAUCAUCGUUGGAUCCAACGGCUAAGAUGUUAGUUCACGAAGCCAUCAUCAGUAGUAAUAAUAAUGCUGGAAAUGCAGAGAAGUCUGAUGAUGUUCUCGUGUUCGCACGAUCUGUCAACAAGAUUGAUUCUUCUUUACAGUAGAUAGUAGUGUGUGUGAGUCCCACUUCAAUGGUGAUUACAUGUUCCACGUGUCUUGAUUUGAACCUUUUGAAUUAUUGAAGUGAGAAAUGAAUGUAUUUAGUGGUCCCUGUACUAUUUUAGAUAGAAUAGUGUAAGGUACUUUUGGCUAUUAUUGUACUUAUGGUUUGAAAUUGGGGAACUUGAUUCCCAUUUCAUGAAAAGAAUGGGCAAAAACUGAACUUGCUAAGUUCAGACUAUUAUUUUAUAGAGUGGGGAUAACAAGUUCAUAGAAUUAGAACACCCACAUUGUGCCGAGUGCACUCUUACAAUUUACAACAGUCAAUUUGGAGUUUGGUGAACUUACAUUUUCCAUGUUACACUUCAAAUAAUAAUGCAGGUACCAUUUUAUGAAUUGAUUACAAAUUAUUUUUUAGCCAAGAACACAUACAAUAUGUACUGCAGAGUCAUUUCUAGUAAUUUUCAAGUUACACUUGAAAUAAUGUAGGUACUUUAUUUUGAGUUGAUUUCAAAAAAUAAUGUUUAGCCAAAAACACACAAACUUACAAAAUAAAAUUUAUGGGACGUGGGGUGUAUGUAUCUGAAUUAAUAGUACCCUUUCUGAAGUUGUCCCCUAUCAAUUGUUCUUAUCACACCAACCUAACAAAAGGACUUAUUAUGGUGGUCCAUCAACUCCAUUGUUGCUUUCAUGCCUUGUCAUCUUAUUGUGUCUCAUUUUAUCUAACCCAACAGAAUUUCUUCUUGUAAUAUAUUGCAUUAUAUCAUGAUAUUAGUUUCCAAUCGACAUAUUUAGUAGUAUAAAACAAAUAUAAUUUUCUUUCAAAUUUAUUUUGUUGUUCAUAUAUGUAUACCCAAUUUGUUUGUUUCUAUGUCACCUUUGCUUUCUAUUGUUAUUUCCAGGAAACUCACUAGUUUGUCCAUUAUGAUAUGAUGAAUUGCAAAAGGCUUCGAGAGAUCCCCAGCAUUGUCUUUUGCUUAUCAUGUACAGCUCAAAAUUUUUGUAGAUCUCAUGAGAUAAGGAUAAUAAGGGCCUACUCUACAUUGUGCAAACUUGCAAUUUUUUUUUUAUAAUCAUUGAAUUACAUAAUAAUAUUUUUGAUAAUAUUUUUUAUGUUAAGACUUAAGAGAACAUCAAGAAAGAUAGCUGAGCUGCCUAAGUAUCGAUGCAAAAUCCAUUAUUUUAAAAGUUCUCCAGCCCUUUUUCCCAUUAAGGUGUUGAUUUCUAGCUACAUAGAAUUUGUUCUUCUCCUCCUAGCUUCCAAUCUUCCAUGAAAAUGAAAUGGAAUAAAGACCUUUGUAUUAUUUGGUUCAAAGAAUAAUGAGAUUCCUUGAAUUGGAGAAGGUGAAAGUGUAGAAGAAAAAAAGAGAAUGGAUAAUGAGAAAUAUCAAACCAGGGUUCUGUGUCCAUUUUACAUUUGAAAAGUAGUCCCUGAACAGCUGAAUACAUUUGAAAAGUAG
rnacentral:lncRNA from 1 species